rnacentral:rRNA from 1 species
GACGAACGCUGGCGGCGUGCUUAACACAUGCAAGUCGAACGGAAAGGCCCUGCUUUUGUGGGGUGCUCGAGUGGCGAACGGGUGAGUAACACGUGAGUAACCUGCCCUUGACUUUGGGAUAACUUCAGGAAACUGGGGCUAAUACCGGAUAGGAGCUCCUGCUGCAUGGUGGGGGUUGGAAAGUUUCGGCGGUUGGGGAUGGACUCGCGGCUUAUCAGCUUGUUGGUGGGGUAGUGGCUUACCAAGGCUUUGACGGGUAGCCGGCCUGAGAGGGUGACCGGCCACAUUGGGACUGAGAUACGGCCCAGACUCCUACGGGAGGCAGCAGUGGGGAAUAUUGCACAAUGGGCGGAAGCCUGAUGCAGCAACGCCGCGUGCGGGAUGACGGCCUUCGGGUUGUAAACCGCUUUCGCCUGUGACGAAGCGUGAGUGACGGUAAUGGGUAAAGAAGCACCGGCUAACUACGUGCCAGCAGCCGCGGUGAUACGUAGGGUGCGAGCGUUGUCCGGAUUUAUUGGGCGUAAAGGGCUCGUAGGUGGUUGAUCGCGUCGGAAGUGUAAUCUUGGGGCUUAACCCUGAGCGUGCUUUCGAUACGGGUUGACUUGAGGAAGGUAGGGGAGAAUGGAAUUCCUGGUGGAGCGGUGGAAUGCGCAGAUAUCAGGAGGAACACCAGUGGCGAAGGCGGUUCUCUGGGCCUUUCCUGACGCUGAGGAGCGAAAGCGUGGGGAGCGAACAGGCUUAGAUACCCUGGUAGUCCACGCUGUAAACGGUGGGUACUAGGUGUGGGGUCCAUUCCACGGGUUCCGUGCCGUAGCUAACGCUUUAAGUACCCCGCCUGGGGAGUACGGCCGCAAGGCUAAAACUCAAAGGAAUUGACGGGGCCCCGCACAAGCGGCGGAGCAUGCGGAUUAAUUCGAUGCAACGCGUAGAACCUUACCUGGGUUUGACAUGGAUCGGGAGUGCUCAGAGAUGGGUGUGCCUCUUUUGGGGUCGGUUCACAGGUGGUGCAUGGCUGUCGUCAGCUCGUGUCGUGAGAUGUUGGGUUAAGUCCCGCAACGAGCGCAACCCUUGUUCACUGUUGCCAGCACGUUAUGGUGGGGACUCAGUGGAGACCGCCGGGGUCAACUCGGAGGAAGGUGGGGAUGACGUCAAGUCAUCAUGCCCCUUAUGUCCAGGGCUUCACGCAUGCUACAAUGGCUGGUACAGAGAGUGGCGAGCCUGUGAGGGUGAGCGAAUCUCGGAAAGCCGGUCUCAGUUCGGAUUGGGGUCUGCAACUCGACCUCAUGAAGUCGGAGUCGCUAGUAAUCGCAGAUCAGCAACGCUGCGGUGAACACAAAACGGGGGCU